AACGAACGCUGGCGGCAGGCUUAACACAUGCAAGUCGAGCGCCCCGCAAGGGGAGCGGCAGACGGGUGAGUAACGCGUGGGAAUCUACCCAUCUCUACGGAAUAACGCAUGGAAACGUGUGCUAAUACCGUAUACGUCCUUCGGGAGAAAGAUUUAUCGGAGAUGGAUGAGCCCGCGUUUGAUUAGCUAGUUGGUGGGGUAAAGGCCUACCAAGGCGACGAUCCAUAGCUGGUCUGAGAGGAUGAUCAGCCACACUGGGACUGCGACACGGCCCAGGAUCCUACGGGAGGCAGCAGGGGGGAAUAUUGGACAAUGGGCGCAAGCCUGAUCCAGCCAUGCCGCGUGAGUGAUGAAGGCCCUCGGGUUGUAGAGCUCUUUCACCGGUGAAGAUAAUGACGGUAACCGGAGAAGAAGCCCCGGCUAACUUCGUGCCAGCCGCCACGGUAAAAC
rnacentral:rRNA from 1 species